rnacentral:tRNA from 1 species
UAUAUUUUAGUAUAGGAUGUAUAAUAGUUUUUGAUACUUUAGGGGAUGGUUUAAUUCCAUUAAAUAUAA